rnacentral:rRNA from 3 species
AAAUUGAAGAGUUUGAUCAUGGCUCAGAUUGAACGCUGGCGGCAGGCCUAACACAUGCAAGUCGAACGGUAACAGGAAGCAGCUUGCUGCUUUGCUGACGAGUGGCGGACGGGUGAGUAAUGUCUGGGAAACUGCCUGAUGGAGGGGGAUAACUACUGGAAACGGUAGCUAAUACCGCAUAACGUCGCAAGACCAAAGAGGGGGACCUUCGGGCCUCUUGCCAUCGGAUGUGCCCAGAUGGGAUUAGCUUGUUGGUGGGGUAACGGCUCACCAAGGCGACGAUCCCUAGCUGGUCUGAGAGGAUGACCAGCCACACUGGAACUGAGACACGGUCCAGACUCCUACGGGAGGCAGCAGUGGGGAAUAUUGCACAAUGGGCGCAAGCCUGAUGCAGCCAUGCCGCGUGUAUGAAGAAGGCCUUCGGGUUGUAAAGUACUUUCAGCGGGGAGGAAGGGAGUAAAGUUAAUACCUUUGCUCAUUGACGUUACCCGCAGAAGAAGCACCGGCUAACUCCGUGCCAGCAGCCGCGGUAAUACGGAGGGUGCAAGCGUUAAUCGGAAUUACUGGGCGUAAAGCGCACGCAGGCGGUUUGUUAAGUCAGAUGUGAAAUCCCCGGGCUCAACCUGGGAACUGCAUCUGAUACUGGCAAGCUUGAGUCUCGUAGAGGGGGGUAGAAUUCCAGGUGUAGCGGUGAAAUGCGUAGAGAUCUGGAGGAAUACCGGUGGCGAAGGCGGCCCCCUGGACGAAGACUGACGCUCAGGUGCGAAAGCGUGGGGAGCAAACAGGAUUAGAUACCCUGGUAGUCCACGCCGUAAACGAUGUCGACUUGGAGGUUGUGCCCUUGAGGCGUGGCUUCCGGAGCUAACGCGUUAAGUCGACCGCCUGGGGAGUACGGCCGCAAGGUUAAAACUCAAAUGAAUUGACGGGGGCCCGCACAAGCGGUGGAGCAUGUGGUUUAAUUCGAUGCAACGCGAAGAACCUUACCUGGUCUUGACAUCCACGGAAGUUUUCAGAGAUGAGAAUGUGCCUUCGGGAACCGUGAGACAGGUGCUGCAUGGCUGUCGUCAGCUCGUGUUGUGAAAUGUUGGGUUAAGUCCCGCAACGAGCGCAACCCUUAUCCUUUGUUGCCAGCGGUCCGGCCGGGAACUCAAAGGAGACUGCCAGUGAUAAACUGGAGGAAGGUGGGGAUGACGUCAAGUCAUCAUGGCCCUUACGACCAGGGCUACACACGUGCUACAAUGGCGCAUACAAAGAGAAGCGACCUCGCGAGAGCAAGCGGACCUCAUAAAGUGCGUCGUAGUCCGGAUUGGAGUCUGCAACUCGACUCCAUGAAGUCGGAAUCGCUAGUAAUCGUGGAUCAGAAUGCCACGGUGAAUACGUUCCCGGGCCUUGUACACACCGCCCGUCACACCAUGGGAGUGGGUUGCAAAAGAAGUAGGUAGCUUAACCUUCGGGAGGGCGCUUACCACUUUGUGAUUCAUGACUGGGGUGAAGUCGUAACAAGGUAACCGUAGGGGAACCUGCGGUUGGAUCACCUCCUUACCUUAAAGAAGC